rnacentral:rRNA from 1 species
CCGCACAAGCGGUGGAGCAUGUGGUUAAUUCGACGCAACGCGAAGAACCUUACCAGGGCUUGACAUCCCCUGACCGCGUAUGAAAGUACGUUUUCACCCUCGGGUGACAGGGAGACAGGUGGUGCAUGGUUGUCGUCAGCUCGUGUCGUGAGAUGUUGGGUUAAGUCCCGCAACGAGCGCAACCCCUAUUGUUAGUUGCCAUCAUUCAGUUGGGCACUCUAGCGAGACUGCCGGUAAUAAACCGGAGGAAGGUGGGAUGACGUCAAAUCAUCAUGCCCCUUAUGACCUGGGCUACACACGUGCUACAAUGGUUGGUACAACGAGUUGCGAGUCGGUGACGGCGAGCUAAUCUCUUAAAGCCAAUCUCAGUUCGGAUUGUAGGCUGCAACUCGCCUACAUGAAGUCGGAAUCGCUAGUAAUCGCGGAUCAGCACGCCGCGGUGAAUACGUUCCCGGGCCUU